UUUGUACCAAAGGAGACCGCCCAUCAUAAUCACUAUUCUUUGGAUUGGCUCCAGCCCGGAUUAAGCCAGUCAACUGAUGAAGGUCGCCAUAAAAAGCGGCGUUAUUAACUCUUAAGUCGGAGAUAGCACAUCAAGAAAAAAGAUGCAGCAUCUAUGAAUACUGGACUUAGAUGAAAUAAUUAAUGGCAUGUUGGUUGUUUCUACUGUGUACCUCGUGGUAUGAUGGAUUAUUCCUCCAGUGCUAGGCAAUGUACCAGUCGAUAGCGAGGCACUAUGGGUUUGUUCAAUCUUGAUUUGUCCAGGACUCCAAUUUUGAGAGGCGCCGCGUGAAUGCUCGCUUGCAUGUGUUCUUGGUUUUUUUAGGAGACAAAAACAAUGAAAUGGUCGAGGGCAGUAAUAUGCAUAGGGCUUGGGCGCACAAUCAGAUCGAAGCUGUUUCUCCCUUUUGUUUUAAAGACAUUGUUCGAUUUCAUUAUCUGGUUCAUCUUCCUCCGAUCAACAAUGCCUCGUCAUUAUCCAUCAGUAGAAGUAUCAUGUGACCUCAGCAGCCUUGCAAGCACUGCAGCUCUAACUCCGAAAUCAACCACACUAAACUCAGGUUUCAGAGAUGGCAACGGUGAAUACAGAGUGAAGUACGCCGGUACUAGUAUGUUCAGUUUGUAUGGCAGCAGAGGAAGGUGGACGUGUCCGUAUGGCAGC